rnacentral:misc_RNA from 1 species
ACCAAUGUUAUCUUGGUUUCCAUGAAAGACCUUGACCAGAUGGAUAACGUUGCUACCGGCGAUCCCGUGUACUGUGAUAAAUGCCAAGUCGUGCUGUCCUGUGUUUCAGAUACAAAGCAAGAUGGAGACAAAUUGCUCUGGAAAUGUGAGUUUUGUGGGCAUGAAAAUGUCUCCACUGAAGUAAGAGAAGAAGAAAUCCCCAAAGCAGACACCAUUGAUUAUGCCCUUUCAGCUCCGGAACCUCAAGAAAAACAAGUUGUAAUGGGAGCAGAAGCUGAGAAAACAGAGGCUACAAAACCAGGUACAACAGGAAGUGGAUAUGUUGUAUACUGUCUGGACAUUAGUGGAUCUAUGGGAGGCACCACUCAACUCCCAGAGUUACAGGCCGAGUGGAAGAGACAAAGAGAUGGAAAUCUUGCCUCUGGAGGUGACCAAGUGACAAGACUUCAAGCUAUACAAGAGGCCCUGAGAAGACAAAUUGAGCGUCUCCACCUAGAAAAUCCAGAGCGGCGAGUAAUUUUCAUCACGUUUGAGUCGGCAGUGGAAGUUUACGGGGACUGCACAAGUGACACCAUACAAGAAGUUCCUAGUAAUAUCCACGAGGAGUUUGAUCCACUACUCUCAUAUGGCGAGAAAUAUUCAAGGGAACACCACAUCAAACCUCUCAGCGAGUCUUAUGAUAAAAUGAGAACCAUAAUUGACAUGUUGAGUCCCAAAGGAUGUACAAGUCUUGGGCCCGCCCUCUCUGUUGCCAUGGGAAUUGUCAAUGGUUCAGUGGGAUCUGAAAUAGUCUUGUGCACUGAUGGGGCCCCCAAUGGGGGUAUAGGAAGCCUGAGCAGCUGUGAAGUUCGGCCGGGCAGCCAUUUCUACAUAAAGGCAGGAGAAUAUGCCAAAGAGAAGAAUAUUACCAUCUCUAUCCUAGCCGUGGAAGGAGCGAGGACAGGACUAGAGAUGGUCAGCAAGUGUGCUGAGAUAUCUGGGGGAACCAUCAAUGUGCUCAACCCCUUGGAGAUAUCUCGCCAGCUUCGACUCAUUUCACAGAAUUACAUCAUUGCUACCUAUGUGACUAUUACACUCUUUCUCCACCCUGAGCUGGAAGUUGAUGAUCCCAGGUUUCCAAAGGGAAGCAGUAAGAUAGUGAAGGAAAUCGGCAGUGCUACAAAAGAUACAGACAUGACGUUCGUGUAUAAAUUGAAAAAUCCUGGAAAAAAAUUGGACAUUGAAAAAAUUCCAUUUCAAGUUCAGGUCUCUUAUACAUUAAAAGAUGGCAGAAAAAUGCUGAGAACUAUCAGCAAAUCUUUAUCAACCACAGAUUGCAGAGAGGCCAUGGAAGAGGCCAUGAAUGUAAGUGUGGUCGGAACGGCAGCAGUACAGAAAACCGCUUAUCUGGCCAGCAAAGGCGACCUAGAAAAUGCCCGCUCACACUUAUUAUCCAAUAAACUCAUGAUUUCCAAAGGCUCCCGAAAUCUUAAACAAAAGGAGGAAAAAGUGGCUUUUAUGGAGGAGAGCAAAACAUUGUCUAGCGUCGUAAACAAGCUUCACAAGGAAAGGAAAGGCUCCAGUUUGAGGGCUUGUGGUUUUUCUGAUCUUGACACAACCGUUCUACAUCAGAAUCUGGCACAGUCAUCAAGCAAAUUAUAUGGAGCGUCUCGUAAGAUGGAGUUGAUGAGAAAACGCACGGAAACAAACCAGGCAGUAUCUGCUGCCUAUUAUGAUAUUCAACAAAUGUAAUCAAUUUUGGCUCUGUUAUUUCGCCUGGCUGGUAUUAAAAUUGAUUGUAUACAAAGACUACUAGCUAAAGUGCAUUAUGACAGGAAAAAACUGUCUCCCCAACAUUAUUAAACCAAUAACCGUACUUGUGCAUGAAUAUGGGAUAUGUAUUGUGAAUAUCAUUCAUUGUAUAGUAAAUGCAUUGAGCUUAAACAUUUCUUCUGAUUUGUCACAACUGACACACAUGUAUAUAUUGCACAAGAACAUCAAAUACAUUACCGGUACAACUGUGUAUUUCAUUGGGAAAACCAAACCCACAAACUAAUCACAUGUGAAAUUGUAAUUAAUACUUUAAGCUACAUCAUGUCAAACAAAAUGCUAGCCAUGACUCGGAUAUGGAAACUCUCAUGUAUUGUCUUUUGUUUUUAGUACAUGUAAUUAUAUAAAUUGACCUCAUUUUAUGGGUCAAAUCCAAUUCAUGUAUAUUACUUUUAUUUUUAAGUGUCUACAUGACACAUGAAAUAUUUUUAUAUUAUUUUGUUACUUAUUUAUUACAUAAUUACAUUAUAGCUGCAGUUUUAUUUUAUUUUAUUCAUAUCACCUCGAGUAAUUAAUUAAUAUUGUAUUACUACUGUAUGUUGUAAUGUACAUGUAUAAAAUGACUUGACUUGACUCAACUGGACUUACAAGAUGCUAUUUUUUAUACCAAUAACAAAAAUAUUUUCAAAUGUCUUGCAUGAUCCAAUACCUGUAUCCUAUUAGAUUGUAAAUGUACUUCUUGUAUAUUUUUAACUCAUCUUGACAGCUGUACAUUAUUUUUAUAUACUGUAUGCAAAAAUAGUGCUUUUAAAUUAUUUAAUGCUUUUACACUUUAGUCCUGUUAUCUGUAAUUUUUAUCUAUUUUUUUUUUUAAGCAUUCAUUUAGAAAUAUUUUUAGCCAGGUCAAUGCUUUUAGUGAUUACUGGUAGGUUUAUAUUUGUUACAAUACUGCAAGCAGAUUUGUUUAAUAUACAUGUAUACUGUUAGACAUUAACAAUAGAGUUAAUAGUGUGUUGGUUGUACAUGUUUAAAUAAAACAGUUGAAUUAUU